AUAAGUACCUAAAAAGUUAAUGAAGUGUAGCUUUCGGUUGAAUAAUUAUCCAUCCAUCAACUUGCGUAAUUAUUUUUCUAUCUAUAUUUCUAUUUGUCUAUUACGUAUUUAUCUAUCUUAUUUCGAAACGACCUAUGGCUAACUUGCCAGCUAGCUAGCUCUUAACUAGCUAGCUAGCCGGGUCGCCAUUAAGUCUAUUAACAGACUGCACGCCACGGAAGAAAACAUUUAUGUUGUAAUUUGUGUGCCAGCCUCACGUAAAUAUUAUAUUAGUCUACGUGUGUUUUAGAACUUUUGAAAUGUUUAAAACUAGAUUUUCGCUUAAACACAACAGCGCGUUUUGCCGUUAGCGCGAAAAACUACAACUCCCAUAAUCCUUCAGGACAAACGCGCAGCUGUGUAGCUACGGGUGCCGGGAGAGCGCGUGACAACAGGCACGGCGCAGACGGCAGCGCUCCAGACAAGCGGCAGCUGCAGAAGGCGUGCGGCCGCUCGGUGCACUCUCCCGCCCCGGCAAAACCUCGCACUUGCCGCGGGGUAAUCCCUGCCUUGUUGGGAUCUCCCGCGGAACAUGUCAGCGCCUCUCCCGAGCGGAAGACCCUCACAGGCGAGCUUUUUCUCCACGUUCCCCUGCCGCUUCCCCGCUUUUGUUGUCGUCCACCUCCGGAGCGGAGGAGAGUGACGGCGGAGGCUGACCCGCGAAAUGCCGCGCACUCCCGGCUGCGGCAGUCCAGGCAACGACCCUUGCCCGGAGAGGAGCGGUGCUCCGCCGCUGACCGCCCCCACAACUCGCUGCGAGUAGAAGAGUGAGAUCUCCUAUUGGCACAUCCUCUUGGACGUGAUGGAUAAUUCGCUCAAUGCUGGAAUGAAAAGGAAACGGCCUCAGUUUGGCAUGCGGCUGCUGUCUAGUCAAUCCGAGCAUGGGCAACAAGAGGAGCAGAGGGAGGAGCGGCGAGAGAAGCGAGCGAGUGGCCCACUGCAGUAUUGAUGACCCAAUGAUCCCCUGCAGAACUCAGCCAGCCAGGCAGACAGACUGAGGCUCCACUCGCAAUCCCAGUCAACGGCGGCGAGCGAGCGGUUGUAGCGGGACGC